rnacentral:tRNA from 1 species
GGGUGUAUGGCUCAAGUGGAGGGUGCCUGCCUAGCAAGUACAGAGCCCUGAGUUCAAAUCCCAGUACUACCA